rnacentral:ribozyme from 15 species
AAUCGUAGAAUUGCGUACAAGUGUUUUGUUGCGUCGUGUAGUUUUCUUCUUUUGCUUCUCUUUUGGUUUUCUACUCUACUACAGUACUAUUCUGUAUGGACAGGAAGAAAGCAAUACGAUACUGCACACUCUUGUCUAAAGUAGGAUGAGUGACUCGUCUUCUUUGCUUCCUUUUCUUCAAUCAAUCUUUCACAACAAGCGGGAAAUUACAAACAAAGGAAGCCUUCAAAGUGGUCGUGUUUGUUCCAAAGUCAAUCAAAAAGUCUUGCUUUUCUAAUAAUAACUCUACACAGUGGGAAGAUGAAGCUACCGAUCCGUCGUUUCGUGUCUAGAGAUGCUUGAUUCAUUCGUUCCCCUUCAAAUGUCUAUAGCUACCACCAACAACGGAAAAUUCCCGCAAGUCUGCACUCGUGUGUUCCGUGUAGAGAUUGGCGCUUUAUU